UGGUUUAGUUGGCGGACGGGUGAGUAACACGUGAGCAACCUACCUUUCAGAGGGGGAUAACAGUUGGAAACGACUGCUAAUACCGCAUAACGUUGUAAAUGGGCAUCCAUUUACAACCAAAAGAGAAAUCUGCUGAAAGAUGGGCUCGCGGCCGAUUAGAUAGUAGGCGGGGUAACGGCCCACCUAGUCAACGAUCGGUAGCCGGACUGAGAGGGUGGACGGCCACAUUGGGACUGAGACACGGCCCAAACUCCUACGGAAGGCAGCAG
rnacentral:rRNA from 1 species